rnacentral:lncRNA from 1 species
UGCAGGCACAGGCGGCGCUGCCUUAGCGAUGGAAAGCAGGCAUUUCACUGUUGAUGUUCCCCAGUCAUACGGCUGACGGUUACUAGGGGAUCCUGAAGGAUGUGUUUCCCUGUGACCCUUUGAGAAGAAAAACUUAGUUGCCGCAGUAACCAAGUUUGGCUUGGAUGCAAUGAUGCAGUAAAUAUCAUAGGGCCCAACUCUGGAAACACACAUGAGUCACUGGAGAUGCUUCCUGAAGUAGCUAGCCGGCAGGGAACAGUAAAGGAAGAAUCUUCUUUACAUCCAGGGCGGUGUUUUGAAGAGCUGCAGUUGAUGGUGCUUCCUCCUAAGCAUUCCCAGGAGCUGCGUCUAUGUCUGCUUUGGCUGUUUGCUGCCACAAGCUUUUGCUGCAGUUCCUAUUUACACACAGCAUUAUCCAGGUAACAAGCUUUAAAAGAACUGUCCAUUUUCAGAUAUGAAAUCUGAGCCCGCUCUUUUCUUUCCCAGCAUGGUCGGGUAAUGUGGUGUUCGUAAUAGGACGGGACUAAUGAUACCAGCUCUACUUAAUCACCGCAUGCAAGUAAGCACAGUGUGUAUUUCCUCUGCUUUGCUGUGUCAGUAACCAGGAGUCUAGACCAGAAACAUCAUCUGCAGAUCUGUCUUCAAGAUUAAGCCAAGAAAAGUGCGCAGACUGUGGUGAAUCGUGCCCGUUGGCUGGUGGGUUGAGGGUUUAACAACUAACACAAAAACAAGUAUUUCUAUUGAUUAAGUCUGUGCCCAGAGAACGAUGGAGAAGAUCUUCUGAGGUGAAUCAUCGCCACUUAUAGCAGAAACCACAGUUCAGAAUUUCAUGUCUUUAUCUGUUCUUUAUUACAUGUAACUAUAACCAUAGCAAAGCCCCAAUAAAUACCAAGGAAAAAUGAGCA